UACGGAGGGUGCAAGCGUUGUCCGGAAUUAUUGGGCGUAAAGAGCUCGUAGGCGGUUUGUCGCGUCUGCCGUGAAAGUCCGGGGCUCAACUCCGGAUCUGCGGUGGGUACGGGCAGACUAGAGUGAUGUAGGGGAGACUGGAAUUCCUGGUGUAGCGGUGAAAUGCGCAGAUAUCAGGAGGAACACCGAUGGCGAAGGCAGGUCUCUGGGCAUUAACUGACGCUGAGGAGCGAAAGCAUGGGGAGCGAACAGG
rnacentral:rRNA from 1 species